rnacentral:rRNA from 1 species
UGGGGAAUAUUGCACAAUGGGGAAGACCCUGAUGCAGCGACGCCGCGUGAAGGAAGAAGUAUUUCGGUAUGUAAACUUCUAUCAGCAGGGAAGAAAAUGACGGUACCUGACUAAGAAGCCCCGGCUAACUACGUGCCAGCAGCCGCGGUAAUACGUAGGGGGCAAGCGUUAUCCGGAUUUACUGGGUGUAAAGGGAGCGUAGACGGAAGUGCAAGUCUGAAGUGAAAGCCCGGGGCUCAACCCCGGGCACUGCUUUGGAAAUCUGUGGAUCUAGAGUGCCGGAGAGGUAAGCGGAAUUCCUAGUGUAGCGGUGAAAUGCGUAGAUAUUAGGAGGAACACCAGUGGCGAAGGCGGCUUACUGGACGGUAACUGACGUUGAGGCUCGAAAGCGUGGGGAGCAAACAGGAUUAGACU